GACAAGGCCUUAGGAUAUCAAAGAGUACUAUUGGCAAGAGUUUUAAGUAUGAAUUGCAACUAAUACUAUCCUCAAUAUAAUGUUUUUUAUUUAUUGUUUGUAAUUAGUUGCAACCAAAGAUUACUAUUCUUUUAAUUAGUUGUUUGUGUAUUUAAAGUUGCUUUUGUGUGUUAUAAUUGAAGAUUGUAUCUGUCGAGUAAUUUGGUGACUCGAAGAGAAUUAAGGGCAGUAUGUAUGUAGUUUUAUUAGUAGUGUUUAUUAAAUUAUUUUAACGGGACAUGGACCUGUUAUAUGGGGGGUAUAAAUUUAUUUUAUAGGGGAUGUUUUGUCGAAUUUUCUACUAACAACUUAUUUUUUCACUCUAAUUCUGACUAAUAUGUUUUUUUUUUUUUUUUUUUUGUAUUCUUUCUCUUAGAAGCACUUUACAUGGCAGCCACAGCUGGAGACCCUGAUUUGUAGGAGGGGGGAGUCGCAAGCAGGUAUCCGGUUACACCAAUAAUUUAUCGAGGUGGAGGAGAUCCGACAAGAGACCUUUCCCAAAGAAUGUUUGAGAAAAUUGGCAAAAAAAAUAGUCGAAGCCUGUGUCCAAACAAGUGUUCUCAAUAUCAAAGAACCGAGUGAGCGAGACAUGCAGUCCUCAAUCCGGUCCCUCACGCCAUACUGGAGUAUCUAUCUCUAUAGUAGAGCAUAUUAGAUGUAUGAGAAAGCUAUUGAGUCACAAGACGAUUCGACGAAGACGCAUGAGCUGGAUCCAUAGCAAUUGUCUUAGAGGUGUUUGGCGGAGAGAACAAGCGCCGAGUGUAUGGCAUGGGUGGUAGAGCUCUAAACUUCUACAACAAUUCCUCCUCCUCCAGUUCUCAGGCUGGCCCUGCCACUGUAGCAUGAAAGUGUUACGUUCUAUUGUUAUGGACGGCAGUCAAAACACUACGAUAAAAGUGCAGGAAUUUUAGUUCUACAAGUUGAUGCGCCUGCAAAGGGUCCAGUGUUGAACCAAAGCUAAAAGAAAUAGAGAUUGCAGCCGCUUACACGUCCUUGUCUUUUGGAUAGGAUAUUUUGGGAGAUCCAUGGAACGACCAAAGCAGGAAACAACUAGAAGAAAAACCAAAAUAAGAAGUUGAUACCAUGGCAAAUCCAUCAAGAGAAAUAGGAGCUGAAAGACCAAUUGCAAUGAAAGAUUAUGCCCGGCCUAUAAUUGGUACACCUAAAAAUGAUGGAUUAGUGCAAAUCAAUAAGGAGAGCAUACAAAAGGAAGAAAAAGUAGAGCCUAAUCUUAGGCUUGACAAGAAAGAAAAGGAAGCAUUUUUUGAACCUGAAUUUCGUUUAAGCUAGCUUAUGCAAAAUUCUUUAAAGAGUUGAACACCAACAAAAGGCGAUAUGCGAACAACGAAAAAGUACAAGUAGUAAGUAUAAUGCUUCAAUAUCAGUUGCCCCUUAAGAUGAAGGAUCCUGGUAGCUUUACCAUUGAUAUCAAAAUAGGUGACAAAAAGGUUACAAAAGCCAUGUUAGAUCUAGGAGCAAGCAUCAACUUGAUGCCUUAUUCGAUGUAUGAACGACUUGGCUUGGAAGAGUUGAAGCCUACCACUAUUGUCUCUACAAUUUACAAAUAAAUCAAUAAAAUAUCCUAGAGAUAUAGUGGAAGACUUGCUAGUACAAGUAGGUAAAUUAAUAAUCCCAGCUGAUUUCGUAGUGCUUGACAUGGAAGACAAACCAACAAGAGAUAAAGAGAAAACUAUACUCCUUGGUAGACCUUUCAUGGCAACUACUAGAACUGUGAUUGAUGUGCACGAUGAAAAACUUAUCAUGACAGUUUUAGGAGAAACUAUAGAAUUUAACGUGUUUAAUUCUCUAACUUUAUCUCCUAAAUCUACAAUUGAUAAGUGUUCAUAUAAUUAUUUAGAUUCUCUUGUUUAUGAAUAAUUCUAUGAUGAUAUUUCAUUCUUAAUUAACAAGAGCUUUCAUGACACUUUAGAUAUUCACAUUAAAAGUAUGAAGCCAUACUUGAAAGGAAUGGCUUAUGACCAAGUGAGCGAAUGAAGGCCACCAAAAGCAUAAUCAGGAAUGUCUAGCUAUAGACAAUAAACUUAACAAUAGUAUUUUUAUUUUUAUUUUAUUUUUAUUUUAUGUUUCUCUUGUAGGCCUAUGUUGGAAAAGGAAACAUUCCUAAUUUCUUUGAUCCCAAAAGGUAAUAUGUUUCCAUGUGAAGCAAUUAAACCUCCUUAAA